rnacentral:rRNA from 1 species
UACGUAGGGUGCAAGCGUUGUCCGGAAUUAUUGGGCGUAAAGAGCUCGUAGGCGGCUUGUCACGUCGAUUGUGAAAGCCCGAGGCUUAACCUCGGGUCUGCAGUCGAUACGGGCUAGCUAGAGUGUGGUAGGGGAGAUCGGAAUUCCUGGUGUAGCGGUGAAAUGCGCAGAUAUCAGGAGGAACACCGGUGGCGAAGGCGGAUCUCUGGGCCAUUACUGACGCUGAGAAGCGAAAGCAUGGGGAGCGAACAGG